rnacentral:rRNA from 1 species
CUACGGGUGGCAGCAGUGGGGAAUAUUGGACAAUGGGCGAAAGCCUGAUCCAGCGACGUCACGUGAAUGAUGAAGGCCUUAGGGUUGUAAAAUUCUUUUAGUGGAGAAGAUAAUGACGGUAUCCACAGAAAAAGUCCCGGCUAACUUCGUGCCAGCAGCCGCGGUAAUACGAAGGGGGCAAGCGUUACUCGGAAUUAUUGGACGUAAAGCGUGCGUAGGCGGUUUUAUAAGUUGAAAGUGAAAGCCUUUGGCUCAACCAAAGAAUUGCUUACAAAACUGUAAAACUAGAGUAUUAGAGAGGAUAGAAGAAUUCCUGAUGUAGGGGUGAAAUCCGUAGAUAUCAGGAGGAAUAUCGAAGGCGAAAGCAUCUGUCUGGCUAAAUACUGACGCUGUUGCACGAAAGCGUGGGGAGCAAACAGGAUUAGAUACCCCUGUAGUC